rnacentral:rRNA from 1 species
GACGAACGCUGGCGGCGUGCCUAAUACAUGCAAGUAGAACGCUGAAGAGAGGAGCUUGCUCUUCUUGGAUGAGUUGCGAACGGGUGAGUAACACGUAGGUAACCUGCCUGGUAGCGGGGGAUAACUAUUGGAAACGAUAGCUAAUACCGCAUGACAUUGAUUAUCGCAUGAUAAUAAAUUGAAAGGUGCAAUUGCAUCACUACCAGAUGGACCUGCGUUGUAUUAGCUAGUUGGUGAGGUAACGGCUCACCAAGGCGACGAUACAUAGCCGACCUGAGAGGGUGAUCGGCCACACUGGGACUGAGACACGGCCCAGACUCCUACGGGAGGCAGCAGUAGGGAAUCUUCGGCAAUGGGGGGAACCCUGACCGAGCAACGCCGCGUGAGUGAAGAAGGUUUUCGGAUCGUAAAGCUCUGUUGUAAGAGAAGAACGGGUGUGAGAGUGGAAAGUUCACACUGUGACGGUAUCUUACCAGAAAGGGACGGCUAACUACGUGCCAGCAGCCGCGGUAAUACGUAGGUCCCGAGCGUUGUCCGGAUUUAUUGGGCGUAAAGCGAGCGCAGGCGGUUAGAUAAGUCUGAAGUUAAAGGCUGUGGCUUAACCAUAGUAUGCUUUGGAAACUGUUUAACUUGAGUGCAGAAGGGGAGAGUGGAAUUCCAUGUGUAGCGGUGAAAUGCGUAGAUAUAUGGAGGAACACCGGUGGCGAAAGCGGCUCUCUGGUCUGUAACUGACGCUGAGGCUCGAAAGCGUGGGGAGCAAACGGGAUUAGAUACCCUGGUAGUCCACGCCGUAAACGAUGAGUGCUAGGUGUUAGGCCCUUUCCGGGGCUUAGUGCCGCAGCUAACGCAUUAAGCACUCCGCCUGGGGAGUACGACCGCAAGGUUGAAACUCAAAGGAAUUGACGGGGGCCCGCACAAGCGGUGGAGCAUGUGGUUUAAUUCGAAGCAACGCGAAGAACCUUACCAGGUCUUGACAUCCCUCUGACCACUCUAGAGACAGAGUUUUCCUUCGGGACAGAGGUGACAGGUGGUGCAUGGUUGUCGUCAGCUCGUGUCGUGAGAUGUUGGGUUAAGUCCCGCAACGAGCGCAACCCCUAUUGUUAGUUGCCAUCAUUGAGUUGGGCACUCUAGCGAGACUGCCGGUAAUAAACCGGAGGAAGGUGGGGAUGACGUCAAAUCAUCAUGCCCCUUAUGACCUGGGCUACACACGUGCUACAAUGGCUGGUACAACGAGUCGCAAGCCGGUGACGGCAAGCUAAUCUCUGAAAGCCAGUCUCAGUUCGGAUUGUAGGCUGCAACUCGCCUACAUGAAGUCGGAAUCGCUAGUAAUCGCGGAUCAGCACGCCGCGGUGAAUACGUUCCCGGGCCU